CCUACGGGUGGCAGCAGUGGGGAAUAUUGGGCAAUGGGCGCAAGCCUGACCCAGCAACGCCGCGUGAAGGAAGAAGUCUUUCGGGUUGUAAACCUCUUUUAUCAGGGACGAAGCAAGUACCGGUACUGGAUGAAUAAGCCACGCCUAAUUCCGUGCCAGCAGCCGCGGUAUUACGUUGGUGGCAAGCGUUAUCCGGUUUUACUGGGGGUAAAGGGCGGGUAGGGGGGAGGGCAAGUCAGAUGUGAAACCUAUGGGCUCAACCCAUAGACUGCAUUUGAAACUGUAUGUCUGGAGUGCUGGAGAGGCAAGCGGAAUUCCGGGUGUAGCGGUGAAAUGCGUAGAUAUACGGAGGAACACCAGUGGCGAAGGCGGAUUGCUGGACAGUAACUGACGCUGAGGCGCGAAAGCGUGGGGAGCAAACAGGAUUAGAUACCCCUGUAGUC
rnacentral:rRNA from 1 species